rnacentral:rRNA from 1 species
UGAGGUGCUUGCACCUUAUCUUAGCGGCGGACGGGUGAGUAAUGCUUAGGAAUCUGCCUAUUAGUGGGGGACAACAUUCCGAAAGGAAUGCUAAUACCGCAUACGCCCUACGGGGGAAAGCAGGGGAUCUUCGGACCUUGCGCUAAUAGAUGAGCCUAAGUCGGAUUAGCUAGUUGGUGGGGUAAAGGCCUACCAAGGCGACGAUCUGUAGCGGGUCUGAGAGGAUGAUCCGCCACACUGGGACUGAGACACGGCCCAGACUCCUACGGGAGGCAGCAGUGGGGAAUAUUGGACAAUGGGCGGAAGCCUGAUCCAGCCAUGCCGCGUGUGUGAAGAAGGCCUUUUGGUUGUAAAGCACUUUAAGCGAGGAGGAGGCUACUUAGAUUAAUACUCUAGGAUAGUGGACGUUACUCGCAGAAUAAGCACCGGCUAACUCUGUGCCAGCAGCCGCGGUAAUACAGAGGGUGCGAGCGUUAAUCGGAUUUACUGGGCGUAAAGCGUGCGUAGGCGGCUGAUUAAGUCGGAUGUGAAAUCCCUGAGCUUAACUUAGGAAUUGCAUUCGAUACUGGUCAGCUAGAGUAUGGGAGAGGAUGGUAGAAUUCCAGGUGUAGCGGUGAAAUGCGUAGAGAUCUGGAGGAAUACCGAUGGCGAAGGCAGCCAUCUGGCCUAAUACUGACGCUGAGGUACGAAAGCAUGGGGAGCAAACAGGAUUAGAUACCCUGGUAGUCCAUGCCGUAAACGAUGUCUACUAGCCGUUGGGGCCUUUGAGGCUUUAGUGGCGCAGCUAACGCGAUAAGUAGACCGCCUGGGGAGUACGGUCGCAAGACUAAAACUCAAAUGAAUUGACGGGGGCCCGCACAAGCGGUGGAGCAUGUGGUUUAAUUCGAUGCAACGCGAAGAACCUUACCUGCCUUGACAUAGU